CAAGGUUGUCACAUGGUUCGUAAAGCUUCUCUAAGAGAACUKACUAUUCUGUGACAGAAAUUCACGGAGGUCUCUGAUUGGCACACAUUAAAUCCCCGUCUGUGUCGCUGGGAGUCCACCAACUGGACCGCGCGUUUCUGUGUUCCACAUGCGGAGUAGAACUGUGCUACCAGGGAGGAUAAACAUCGCCAGAUGGGUUAUCCAGGUUAUCCAAGAUACACUGUUGCUUGAGAAAGAGCAGCACCAAGAAAUCCAGCAGAGGAGAAAUCACACACACACA